UAAUAACAAUUAUGUUGUAGAUUGAAGAGGAAUAGGAAGAAGAAGAGCAUCAACCAUGGCGAUGAGCAGCUUGUGCGGCUCCAGUCUCAUCUUCUUUCUCCAAUCCUUUCGAUGCUCUGGGCAACGCUCUUAUCUGUUCUUCUUCCAAGACUUAGGUUCGUUAUCUUCCUAGUUGCUUCUUUCACUUUCAAUUUCUCUUCUCCAUUUCAAAUUUUCAAUCCUCAAUGGCGUCAUUUUCUCAAGCUUUCGUUUGAUUCACGAGCAGGACGCUCACAGCUUCUGAGCCGUAAUUUUAUCCAGACGCUCAUGGCCACAUGCUGCACCAGAUCUGAGAGAAGGCUCACAAGGAUGAGCUUAAGAAGAACAAAGAGACCAUUUCAAGCUUCUGGAUGAAAUGAUUGACAAUGGCUUCCCUCUCACUACAGAGCCUAAUAUUAUGAGAGAGAUGAUUGCUCCACCAAAUAUAGUUAACAAGAUGUUGAGUGUUAUGACAGGCAACAGUUCCAACAUGAGUGACACACUUCCAGGUGCAACAUCAUCUUGCAUUCCAUGGAGAACAACAGACCUGAAAUAUGCUAACAAUGAAGUUUAUGUUGAUCUUGUUGAAGAAAUGGAUGCAAUUGUAAAUAGGGAUGGGGUCCUGGUGAAAUGCGAGAUAUAUGGUGAAGUGGAAGUGAACUCCUAUCUCUCAGGUGUUCCUGAUUUGACUCUUUCAUUUGCAAACCCUUCUAUUCUUGAUGAUGUAAGAUUCCAUCCAUGUGUUCGAUUUUGCCCUUGGGAAUCCCAACAAAUUCUAUCAUUUGUGCCUCCUGACGAACAGUUUAAACUGAUAAGCUACAGAUAGUCAUAGAUUCUUGUUGUGCAACAUUUGCAGAAGUUCAGAAAAUGGGAAAGGAUUUCUGGGCAGAGUUUGAGUUGUACGCUGUUGAUCUUUUGGUUGGCAUAGCUGCUGACAUUGCUUUGGUUGGCAUGUUGGCACCCUCUCCUCGAAUUGGAAAGCCAUUAGUAUCACGAGAAUUAUUUGGAAGUUAACAACUACAUCAUUUCAUUUGCAUAAUAGAGGUAUCUUGUUAUUACUAGUAUUCUUCGCUGCUGGGGUUGGCAAGACAAUGCUUAUCAGUGAUGCUAAGAAAGUUUAUGCCUUUUGAAAGG